GAUGAACGCUGGCGGCGUGCCUAAUACAUGCAAGUCGAGCGAACAGACGAGGAGCUUGCUCCUCUGACGUUAGCGGCGGACGGGUGAGUAACACGUGGAUAACCUACCUAUAAGACUGGGAUAACUUCGGGAAACCGGAGCUAAUACCGGAUAAUAUAUUGAACCGCAUGGUUCAAUAGUGAAAGACGGUUUUGCUGUCACUUAUAGAUGGAUCCGCGCCGCAUUAGCUAGUUGGUAAGGUAACGGCUUACCAAGGCAACGAUGCGUAGCCGACCUGAGAGGGUGAUCGGCCACACUGGAACUGAGACACGGUCCAGACUCCUACGGGAGGCAGCAGUAGGGAAUCUCCCGCAAUGGGCGAAAGCCUGACGGAGCAACGCCGCGUGAGUGAUGAAGGUCUUCGGAUCGUAAAACCCUGUUAUUAGGGAAGAACAAAUGUGUAAGUAACUAUGCACGUCUUGACGGUACCUAAUCAGAAAGCCACGGCUAACUACGUG
rnacentral:rRNA from 1 species